rnacentral:rRNA from 1 species
UAGGGAAUCUUCGGCAACGGACGGAAGUCUGACCGAGCAACGCCGCGUGUGUGAAGAAGGUUUUCGGAUCGUAAAGCUCUGUUGUUAGAGAAGAACGUUGGUAGGAGUGGAAAAUCUACCAAGUGACGGUAACUAACCAGAAAGGGACGGCUAACUACGUGCCAGCAGCCGCGGUAAUACGUAGGUCCCGAGCGUUGUCCGGUUUUAUUGGGCGUAAAGCGAGCGCAGGCGGUUCUUUAAGUCUGAAGUUAAAGGCAGUGGCUUAACCAUUGUACGCUUUGGAAAGUGGAGGACUUGAGUGCAGAGGGGGAGAGUGGAAUUACAUGUGUAGCGGUGAAAUGCGUGUAUAUAUGGAGGAACACCGGUGGCGAAGGCGGCUCUCUGGUCUGUAGCUGACGCUGAGGCUCGAAAGCGUGGGGAGCAAACGGG